ensembl:lncRNA
GAAAACAUGGUGUUGGAAGAGCUAGGAUAUGUCUGCUUUAAUUCAAAACAGCAGUGGGACCCUAAAACAUUACCAAAUAGCUUUUUAUCAGCAGUGCAGAAAUGAUCAAAAAUGCUUGAAUGAAAUCUUUCAUGAUAUUCAUCCAACUUACUGAAGUUUCUAUUUUUAAAUAACAAAUAAUACAUAAUAAAUACUGAGGAGGAAAAGUUUGAGCUAUAUCCAGAAAAAAAAUUUUAAAUCUCCUUUUACUAGGGGGAAAAAAAAAAAGACCCAUAGCGUCCUUCCUCAUCUUUAACAACUUAAAAAGAAGGGCCAAUGAGAAGAAUGACACAACCCAUCCUUUUUCCAUUUCAAGGAAUAGGCUCAUGUUUUUCCAGAUUUAUUUUUGCCAAAGUGAAUGUCUUGAAAACUCUGAGAUGAUCGCUGUUUUCUAACUUUUCAAAAAAGAAAAGAAAAAAGUGAACAUGAUGAUGGUGGGUGAUUUAAUGGAAUCAGCUUGUCAACAUGAUGAAACUGAAAAAGCUUCUACAGAAUAUGUCCACAUGCUAAAAUAAAAAAUCUUUAACAUAAUGUAUAUAGUGUAGCGUGAUUUUUGUUAUGGCAAAAGAAGAGAAUAUCAUUAAUUUAGACAGUAAGUGUAAGGUUCUGCUAAAAACUCCAUGGAUAAAUCAUAGAAAUACAUCUUGGCCAGACAAAUGGAGCCAGACAAGUUCUAGUUCUUUCAGAAGCUAUCAAAAGAGCCAUCAGAUUUUAAGUCUGUCAUCUCUCAUAUGUGAUAAGAAAAAUUCUCAGCAAUUCCUCUCAGUAAUACUAGUUAUAGCUUCAAAGUUUUAGUGAUUUAUACAUAAAAGGACAAGAAAAUGACCUUUCGUGAAUGUCCCAUUUUAGGCAAACCAUAAUGUCUCUUGCAUUCUCAAAAGUAAGUGGGCAGAUUGGCUCAUUUUGGUAGGGCUUGGUGGGAGAACAUGCACAUCUUGUGUGAACUUUUAACCUCUCCUUCCUUUGCAGAAUGGUUCAUGUACACAAUAUUUAAUGUCCAAGAAUUCUAUAAUUCUUAGCACAGCGGUCAGUCAAUACAAGGGAAAACCAUCUAAUAUUUAAAAUUCAUGUUUAGAGUGUCUUAAAUCCUAUGCUCUUGAACUAAAAACCUUAUGAAAGUUCUAAAACAAUUGAAUGCUUCUCCCUAAGUGUCUUAUAGGUGUGGCUGCCAACUGAGAGUGUUAGGUUGGUAAAACUGGUUUAAUAGGCAAAAAAGGUGCCGGAUGAACCAUGUUUUUAUUUACACUGGUUGGAAAUUGUAUAUUUGAUUUAUAGCCCAAAUCAAGCUCUUAUAUCAGUGCCUCCAGUCUAUGACUGGAAUUGCUUCAUUUGAUUUCAAAGAUUCCUGCCCAUCAUUGAUUCUUCAGAUUCUAAAGGACUUAGGUCUACGGGGUCCAAUCCCUCACUACUUCUCUAAUCUCAUUUCUCAUCAUUUGCAUGCAACAUUGGUCCAAGUGCAAUAAAAUAUGUUUACCUAAGUGGAACAAGAAUAGAAAUGUGAAUUAGGAUUGAAAUGAAUAAAGCAAUUAGAAUUAGUGACUCUAUGCUCUUGAGAAAAUUCAGCUCUCUCAUUGGAGAGAUACCUGUGUUUUUAACUGAGCCUACCACUGUGUGGAUUACCAUAAAUUGUGGAAAAUUCUGAAAGAGACGGGAAUACCAGACCACCUGACC